GAUGAACGCUGGCGGCGUGCCUAAUACAUGCAAGUCGAGCGAGCAGACGAGGAGCUUGCUCCUCUGACGUUAGCGGCGGACGGGUGAGUAACACGUGGAUAACCUACCUAUAAGACUGGGAUAACUUCGGGAAACCGGAGCUAAUACCGGAUAAUAUAUUGAACCGCAUGGUUCAAUAGUUAAAGACGGUUUUGCUGUCACUUAUAGAUGGAUCCGCGCCGCAUUAGCUAGUUGGUAAGGUAACGGCUUACCAAGGCAACGAUGCGUAGCCGACCUGAGAGGGUGAUCGGCCACACUGGAACUGAGACACGGUCCAGACUCCUACGGGAGGCAGCAGUAGGGAAUCUUCCGCAAUGGGCGAAAGCUUGACGGAGCAACGCCGCGUGAGUGAUGAAGGUCUUCGGAUCGUAAAACUCUGUUAUUAGGGAAGAACAAAUGUGUAAGUAACUAUGCACGUCUUGACGGUACCUAAUCAGAAAGCCACGGCUAACUACGUG
rnacentral:rRNA from 1 species